AUCACCUCCUUAAUUUAAGAAAAAUAAUAACAAAUUUAAUCUUUAAGUCAAAUCACUAAAUUACCAUAUAUUAACGCUGGGUAAAAACCCCGAAUCUGAAGAAACAAACAAAAUCCGAUUUGAAUAGUACCGAACCCAAAUAUAAAUUGAUUAAAUAUCCAAAUGGGUUCAAAAACUAAAUCUGACCCAAACCAAAGUAUUUUAACAAAUCACCUCCUUAAUUUAAGAAAAAUAAUAGCACAAUAAAUCCUUAAGUCAAAACACUAAGUUAAUACAUAUUAGUGCUGGGAAAAUACACCGAAUCCAAAGAAGCGAACCAAAUAUGAUUCAAAAAUAUGAAGAUAAGAUCCAGUUCUCUAGUUUAUAUAUAUGUGCACUUUGAAAGAAUGCAGCAGGUUCUUGAAAUAUCUAUUGGUAGAUUUUUGUAGAGAUUCAGAUUGUUCUAGCUUUUUGGCUAUGGAUAUCUUACUAAAUUGUGGCCGCCUAGCCGAUUUUUCUGCCGCCUGCACGCUACACAGUUGAUGAACGUGGCGAUUAUCAUCAAUUUGGCUGUGUUGAACAGUGUCACGCGUAAUCUGCGCCUAGAGAAUAGAAUAAGAAAAACGCGGCUUAUAAUUUUCGGAAGCCGAUUAAUCAAAAU
rnacentral:lncRNA from 1 species